rnacentral:lncRNA from 10 species
AGCCAUUCCAUGCAAAACGUCACAGUGGCAAUCAGAAAAGGCAUCUCUGAAAUGUACAAUGAAGAAGGACGUUAAAAGAAAAUUUAUUUACCCAGAUCAUGAACAAUCUGGAUUUCAUGUCACAAGAGGAAACAGAGUCAUCACUUCAAGUACUGCACCAAUCAAGUCUGUUCUGGUAAUAAUGUGAGGUAAAUGAGACAUGUAAUGGGAAGAAGUGGAUAGAUUCCCAUGAUACAUAAUAAUUAGUAGGCAUCACUUAAAUAGAAUUUAUUCUAUCAGCAAAGUUAGAUGGUUCUUAAUGUAUGUCAAUAAAGGUGGGAGUGAGGGCAGACAAAGGCCAAGGAAGAGGAAGAUCACAACAUGAAAAAGAAAAAUGCCUAAUAAUAAUGAAAAUAUUAAUAGCAUAU